rnacentral:lncRNA from 1 species
UUCCCAGACCUCACUGAAAGCCCACCUGGGAAUGCCAGAGGACAGUAUCAUCAGCAGUGUCCAGGAGCAACUGUCAAAAUCUGACCAAAUGGUGGCUGCAGGACAGCUUUCACAAAUAGAUAAAGUGGUUGGAACUAUGCUGGAGAACAUUGAGUGUCUGAAGAUAGAAUUUCAUGCUCUUCUUCCUCAUCAGUAUUUAGUGACACAGUCAGUCUCUUUACCAAAGUUAUGGUAAGCCAGGUCAUGUACUCUGUGGAUUCUGAUGCAGAAAGUAUAGGAUCCUCUCCAACUGAAUCUCUCCAAACAUCUGAAACCACUAUAUCUGAUGUAGGCAAUCUAUUGAGUGACAAGUCCUCCCCUCGGCUGUCUCCUUCUGGCACCAUUAUGGCAACAAGCGAGACCUCCAAUGCGGCACAAAUCUUGAAGGCCAACAUUGAUGGAGAGGAAGUGGAUACCACCAGUCAUUCUGGUGUAGCUCAAAACAUUGUCAGGGACGAUAUGUCAACCAGCCCAGACAUGGUCAAAGAUGUCACACUUCCAACCCCAUCCUCUGAUAACUUGGGCAGUGAUGAUGACGUCACCGACCUCAUCAGCAUGUUAGUAAUGAGAAUUCUAACAGAAAUCCAAACCCCAGCAGAAGAUUACCCAGUUGACGUCACACGCAAGUCACAACACCUGAUCCCCAAAGUUAUGGAGGUCUUCUGUGCAUGGUCAGGCUGCUCUGAGACACAAGCCUAUCCAGAGAACUUGAGGAUUCAUAAAGUCUACAGAGUCGUCUAUAAAAAUCUGUUGGAGGAGUUUGGCUCGGAGAAAAUCCUCCAACAGGCCGUGUCGACUCAGGACUCUUCAUUUGAUAGGAUUCUUGUCAAGUCUUUGAGUGAAGCGCUUCUCCACAGAUGUAAUGAGGCAUUGAGGGCAGCCUCAAAAACAUCAGUCAAAACCACCGGGCCUAAGGCUUUUCCACUGGCUGAGGAUGUGAGGGCUAGCAGCGGGAAACUAUCUUUUCUACAAAGGCUGGUCAGGCUGACAAGCAACUUAAAGCUAUUCAAGAAGGGGAACAAGAAGGAUUCCCACCGCUCUGAAUCAGAACAAGUACAGACCACUGCUGAAGAUGGCAUGCGUAAGUUCACACAACAGGACAACAGUCUGUUUGAGAUAUUGGUGUACAAAUAA